rnacentral:rRNA from 1 species
CCCUUAGAUGUUCUGGGCCGCACGCGCGCUACACUGAUUCAUGCAACAAGUUUUGUCCUUGGCUGAUAGGCCUGGGUAAUCUUUGAACGUGAAUCGUGAUGGGGAUAGAUGAUUGCAAUUAUUCAUCUUCAACGAGGAAUUCCUAGUAAACGCAAGUCAUCAGCUUGCAUUGAUUACGUCCCUGCCCUUUGUACACACCGCCCGUCGCACCUACCGAUUGAAUGGUCCGGUGAAAAUUUCGGAUACCGGCAUUGCUGGCGGUUCGCCGCCGGCGACGCUGGUAGAAGAUCUUUAAACCUUAUCAUUUAGAGGAAGGAGAAGUCGUAACA